rnacentral:rRNA from 1 species
ACGGGUGAGUAACGCGUAUGCCAACCUACCUAUCAGGAGGGGAACUAACCCGGCGAAGUCGGACUAAUACCGCAUAAAACAGGGGCACCGCAUGGUGAUAUUUGUUAAAGAAAUUCGCUGAUAGAUGGGCAUGCGUUCCAUUAGGUAGUUGGUGAGGUAACGGCUCACCAAGCCGACGAUGGAUAGGGGAACUGAGAGGUUGGUCCCCCACACUGGUACUGAGACACGGACCAGACUCCUACGGGAGGCAGCAGUGAGGAAUAUUGGUCAAUGGGCGGGAGCCUGAACCAGCCAAGUUCCGCGUGAAGGAAGAAGGAUCUAUGGUUCGUAAACUUCUUUUGCAGGGGAAUAAAGUGCAGGACGUGUCCUGUUUUGUAUGUACCCUGAGAAUAAGGAUCGGCUAACUCCGUGCCAGCCGCCGC